CUACGGGACGCUGCAGUAGGGAAUAUUGCACAAUGGGCGAAAGCCUGAUGCAGCAACGCCGCGUGCGCGAUGAAGGCCUUCGGGUUGUAAAGCGCUUUUCUGAGGGAUGAGAAAGGACAGUACCUCAGGAAUAAGGAUCGGCUAACUACGUGCCAGCAGCCGCGGUAAAACGUAGGAUCCGAGCGUUAUCCGAAUUUACUGGGCGUAAAGCGCGUGUAGGUGGUUUGGUAAGUUGGAUGUGAAAGCUCCUGGCUUAACUAGGAGAGGCCGUUCAAAACUGCCAGACUAGAGGGCGGUAGAGGAAGGUGGAAUUCCCGGUGUAGUGGUGAAAUGCGUAGAUAUCGGGAGGAACACCAGUGGCGAAGGCGGCCUUCUGGGCCGUCCCUGACACUGAGACGCGAAAGCUAGGGGAGCAAACGGGAUUAGAUACCCGGGUAGUC
rnacentral:rRNA from 1 species